rnacentral:rRNA from 1 species
AGUGAACGCUGGCGGUAGGCCUAACACAUGCAAGUCGAACGGCAGCACAGUAAGAGCUUGCUCUUACGGGUGGCGAGUGGCGGACGGGUGAGGAAUACAUCGGAAUCUACUUUUUCGUGGGGGAUAACGUAGGGAAACUUACGCUAAUACCGCAUACGACCUACGGGUGAAAGCAGGGGAUCUUCGGACCUUGCGCGAUUGAAUGAGCCGAUGUCGGAUUAGCUAGUUGGCGGGGUAAGGCCCACCAAGGCGACGAUCCGUAGCUGGUCUGAGAGGAUGAUCAGCCACACUGGAACUGAGACACGGUCCAGACUCCUACGGGAGGCAGCAGUGGGGAAUAUUGGACAAUGGGCGCAAGCCUGAUCCAGCCAUACCGCGUGGGUGAAGAAGGCCUUCGGGUUGUAAAGCCCUUUUGUUGGGAAAGAAAAGCAGCAGGUUAAUACCCCGCUGUUCUGACGGUACCCAAAGAAUAAGCGCCGGCUAACUUCGUG